AACGAACGCUGGCGGCAUGCCUAACACAUGCCAGUCGAACGAGACCUUCGGGUCUAGUGGCGCACGGGUGCGUAACGCGUGGGAACCUGCCCUUAGGUUCGGAAUAACUCCCCGAAAGGGGUGCUAAUACCGGAUAAUGUCUUCGGACCAAAGAUUUAUCGCCUUUGGAUGGGCCCGCGUUGGAUUAGCUAGUUGGUAGGGUAAAAGCCUACCAAGGCGACGAUCCAUAGCUGGUCUGAGAGGAUGAUCAGCCACACUGGGACUGAGACACGGCCCAGACUCCUACGGAAGGCAGCAGUGGGGAAUAUUGGACAAUGGGCGAAAGCCUGAUCCAGCAAUGCCGCGGGAGUGAUGAAGGCCUUAGGGUUGUAAAGCUCUUUUACCCGGGAUGAUAAUGACAGUACCGGGAGAAUAAGCUCCGGCUAACUCCGUG
rnacentral:rRNA from 1 species